rnacentral:lncRNA from 1 species
AAUGUAUUUUCAUACAAAACAACAUCCUUUGACUUCUAGUAUUUACAAUAAUCAAGAUGAAUUUCAAAGUCUUUAUCAAAUAGUUUACAUUGUUUACAAGCACAAACAAUUUUUACUUUAGGAAAACCAUCUAAAGCUUUAAGUGUAAAGUUUACACUGGUUUCAGAUAAUCCAUAUCUGUUAAGUUUCACUGGUAGAAAAUGUUCUGACAUGUAGAAAAAUAUCAAUUUACAUUUGUCCAUGACAUCUAUAAAGCCAAU